AGUCUAUUCAGAGGAACCUGUCCUGUAAUUGAUAAUCCACGAUGUACCUCACUUAAAUUUGUUUUUCAGUUUAUAUACCGUCGUUAUCAGAAUAUUUUAUUAGAAUAAUAAUUUUCUAUAAUUUUUAUAAGAAUUUAUAUCAGAUCAAGGUGUAGCUUAUGUUUAAGUAGAGAUGGGUUACAAUAAAUUUAUUUAAAUGGAUCUAAUUUUGAAAUGAUUAGUGAAGGUGGAUUUGAUAGUAAAAUUUUAAAGAUUGUUAAUUUGAUUUUAGCUCUAGAAUAUGCACACAUCGCCCGUCGCUCUUGCUAUUAAGGCAAGAUAAGUCGUAACAUAGUAGAUGUACCGGAAGGUGUAUCUAGAAUGA
rnacentral:rRNA from 1 species